rnacentral:rRNA from 1 species
GACGAACGCUGGCGGCGUGCUUAACACAUGCAAGUCGAACGGAAAGGCCCUGCUUUUGUGGGGUGCUCGAGUGGCGAAAGGGUGAGUAACACGUGAGUAACCUGCCCUUGACUUUGGGAUAACUUCAGGAAACUGGGGCUAAUACCGGAUAGGAGCUCCUGCUGCAUGGUGGGGGUUGGAAAGUUUCGGCGGUUGGGGAUGGACUCGCGGCUUAUCAGCUUGUUGGUGGGGUAGUGGCUUACCAAGGCUUUGACGGGUAGCCGGCCUGAGAGGGUGACCGGCCACAUUGGGACUGAGAUACGGCCCAGACUCCUACGGGAGGCAGCAGUGGGGAGUAUUGCACAAUGGGCGGAAGCCUGAUGCAGCAACGCCGCGUGCGGGAUGACGGCCUUCGGGUUGUAAACCGCUUUCGCCUGUGACGAAGCGUGAGUGACGGUAAUGGGUAAAGAAGCACCGGCUAACUACGUG